GAUGAACGCUGGCGGCGUGCUUAACACAUGCAAGUCGAACGAAGCACCUUGAUUCGAUUCUUCGGAUGAAGAUCUUGGUGACUGAGUGGCGGACGGGUGAGUAACGCGUGGGUAACCUGCCUCAUACAGGGGGAUAACAGUUAGAAAUGACUGCUAAUACCGCAUAAGACCACAGCACCGCAUGGUGCAGGGGUAAAAACUCCGGUGGUAUGAGAUGGACCCGCGUCUGAUUAGGUAGUUGGUGGGGUAACGGCCUACCAAGCCGACGAUCAGUAGCCGACCUGAGAGGGUGACCGGCCACAUUGGGACUGAGACACGGCCCAAACUCCUACGGGAGGCAGCAGUGGGGAAUAUUGCACAAUGGGGGAAACCCUGAUGCAGCGACGCCGCGUGAGCGAUGAAGUAUUUCGGUAUGUAAAGCUCUAUCAGCAGGGAAGAAAAUGACGGUACCUGACUAAGAAGCACCGGCUAAAUACGUGCCAGCAGCCGCGGUAAUACGUAUGGUGCAAGCGUUAUCCGGAUUUACUGGGUGUAAAGGGAGCGUAGACGGAGUGGCAAGUCUGAUGUGAAAACCCGGGGCUCAACCCCGGGACUGCAUUGGAAACUGUCAAUCUGGAGUACCGGAGAGGUAAGCGGAAUUCCUAGUGUAGCGGUGAAAUGCGUAGAUAUUAGGAGGAACACCAGUGGCGAAGGCGGCUUACUGGACGGUAACUGACGUUGAGGCUCGAAAGCGUGGGGAGCAAACAGGAUUAGAUACCCUGGUAGUCCACGCCGUAAACGAUGACUACUAGGUGUCGGGCAGCAAAGCUGUUCGGUGCCGCAGCAAACGCAAUAAGUAGUCCACCUGGGGAGUACGUUCGCAAGAAUGAGACUCAAAGGAAUUGACGGGGACCCGCACAAGCGGUGGAGCAUGUGGUUUAAUUCGAAGCAACGCGAAGAACCUUACCUGCUCUUGACAUCUCCCUGCCCGGCAAGUAAUGUUGCCUUUCCUUCGGGACAGGGAUGACAGGUGGUGCAUGGUUGUCGUCAGCUCGUGUCGUGAGAUGUUGGGUUAAGUCCCGCAACGAGCGCAACCCCUAUCUUUAGUAGCCAGCGGUUCGGCCGGGCACUCUAGAGAGACUGCCAGGGAUAACCUGGAGGAAGGUGGGGAUGACGUCAAAAUCAUCGUGCCCCUUAUGAGCAGGGCUACACACGUGCUACAAUGGCGUAAACAAAAGGGAGGCAGAAACCGCGAGGUCGAGCAAAUCCCGAAAAAUAAACGUCUCAGUUCGGAUUGUAGUCUGCAACUCGACUACAUGAAAGCUGGAAUCGCUAGUAAUCGCGAAAUCAGAAAUGUCGCGGUGAAAUACGUUUCCCGGGUCU
rnacentral:rRNA from 1 species